rnacentral:rRNA from 1 species
UACGUAGGGGGCUAGCGUUGUCCGGAUUUAUUGGGCGUAAAGAGCGUGUAGGCGGCCAGGUAGGUCUGGUGUGAAAACUCGAGGCUUAACCUCGAGAUGUCAUCGGAAACCAUCUGGCUAGAGUCCGGAAGAGGAGAGUGGAAUUCCUGGUGUGAGCGGUGAAAUGCGCAGAUAUCAGGAGGAACACCGGUGGCGAAGGCGGGAUCCUGGGCCAGUACUGACGCUGAGGAGCGAAAGCGUGGGGAGCAAACAGG